CAGUAGCCACGGGAAUACGAAGGGGGCCAGCGUUGCUCGGAAUCACUGGGCGUAAAGGGUGCGUAGGCGGGUCUUUAAGUCAGGGGUGAAAUCCUGGAGCUCAACUCCAGAACUGCCUUUGAUACUGAAGAUCUUGAGUUCGGGAGAGGUGAGUGGAACUGCGAGUGUAGAGGUGAAAUUCGUAGAUAUUCGCAAGAACACCAGUGGCGAAGGCGGCUCACUGGCCCGAUACUGACGCUGAGGCACGAAAGCGUGGGGAGCAAACAGGAUUAGAUACCCCUGUAGUCCCUGUCUCUUAUAC
rnacentral:rRNA from 1 species